rnacentral:lncRNA from 1 species
CGCAGGCCUCUACCUCAUUUCAUGCUUAAUAAGCAAACCACUCAUUUUUCUUCCAACAAGUAUUUAUUAAACACUGUCUUAGUUGUAAACACCCCCCUCUUGAAGGACCCUGGUGUUCGGGAGCUCCAGGGGGCUGAAGGCAAACCUACCAGUCAGGCGGGCACACUGAGAACCUGCUCUUCCCCCUGCUGCCACCUUGUGACCGGAGCCUGGAACUGCAGGCCCUGUGCCCAGGGAAGUUCAGAGCCAGGUGAGCAGCCAGGAGAGGUCCUAUCGACUGCCCUCCUCUACAGAUGUACAGUGGAGUAAAUGCAGACCCCUCUUCCUUCACUGGGCUCCCAGGUCCCCAGGAGAUGUGGCUGCUGUCUUGCAGGCACACGCCGUUGCACCCAUUGGACCAGAGGAUGGCAGGCCCCUGGUGAUCAAGCCAGUAGUCACGCACCACAGGAUUCUUGGCCUAUAUCCCUGUCUUCCAGUAGGUUAGGCCAAGCCUCGGUGAAAAGGGCACAGCAGGUGACUGCAACCUCAGAUGCUCACCUUUCUCAGGACUUUGGGGCCUACAUGGGGCCUUCAGUCUGGAGCUGAAGCUGACCUUUCCUGUGUUCUCACCCACCUUCUGACAGAUUUG